AUGCGGUUCGGGGGUGCUGCCGCUGGGUUCGCUGGGUUUGUUUGGAAUUCUCGUGCGCCGUCGAGGGUCAAGUUCUUCUGCUGGCUACUGGUGCAGCGGCGCAUCCAUACCAGGGAUGUCUUGCUUAAGAAACACAUCGUGGAGCCAAGUGGGGCGGGGUGCCCUGUCUGCACGAACGAGUUGGAAACGGCUGACCAUUUGGCUCUCUCCUGUUCGUUUGCGGCUGCCUUCUGGCGAAAGGUUGGGGUGUCAACUGCUGGCGCGGAUGUCGGGGCCCUGGAUCGUUUGGCGGUUGCGGCGUGCUUGGUCGUCCGUUCUGCUCCCGAGUUUGUAAUGCUGUGCUGCUGGCACCUAUGGAAACACCGGAACGCAGUGGUGUUCCAGCGGCAACGACCCUCCCUCGCGCGCGUGCUGGCCUGCUGUAGGGAAGAUGCGGUGCUUUGGCGAGGGCGGAUGAAGAGCUCCUGCCGUGAGCACGUUGACUCGUGGUUAGCUGUCCUGGCUUAG
rnacentral:rRNA from 1 species